CGGGACGGGUGAGUAAUGUCUGGGAAACUGCCUGAUGGAGGGGGGUAACUACUGAAACGGUAGCUAAUACCGCAUAACGUCGCAAGACCAAAGAGGGGGACCUUCGGGCCUCUUGCCAUCGGAUGUGCCCAGAUGGGAUUAGCUAGUAGGUGGGGUAACGGCUCACCUAGGCGACGAUCCCUAGCUGGUCUGAGAGGAUGACCAGCCACACUGGAACUGAGACACGGUCCAG
rnacentral:rRNA from 1 species